AAAUAUGCGACUUCCUCUGAAUUUAAAAGGAGAAUCAACUGAAACCAGUGAGACUUUCACACUUCACUCAUCCCGUGCUGCAGAGCUGAGCUCUCCAAAACAACCCAAAUCCAUGUAUGCAAUGGAGGCAAUAUAUGCCAAUGAUGAAUGUGUUAAACCUGACAACCCAACACCUUCAACAAAUUACACAGGUCAGAGGAGCUCUAGGAGAAGUUUCUAUUUGGGUGUUAUUCUCUCCCUGAGCUGCUCACUGUUUUAUUGCUGGUUGGACUUAUCACACUUAGUUUCUUCUACCACAAUUCAGCUGAACAUGUGUCGGCACAGGCUGAGAAGAGCAACCUGCUGACUAAAAACAUCUCUGCAGUCAGUAACCAACUUUCUUCCAUGACUGAGGAGCGAGAUCUGCUGACUAAAAACUUCUCUGCAGUCAGUAACCAACUUUCUUCCAUGACUGAGGAGCGAGAUCUGCUGACUAAAAAGACUGAAGAGCUUAAAAAGCAGAGUGAGUCCUUGUGUGAGCUGUUGUGUCUCUAAAUGUUUUUUCUCGGAAAUGUAGUGAUUCAUUUUCCAAACAAAUGGUGUAAUCAUUUUCUUCUGACUUAACACAUUUUUAAAAUCAAAUUUCAGUCAUUAGGAAAAUAUCAUAUGAACCAUUAAAGCUGCAGUGCAGCACUGUACCUUAUGCUUGUCACAAAUUUACAUUUACAAAUCUGAAUGGUACUAAAAUAAUUUAAGGGCUGUAUUUCAUCGACACAUAUGUGAAAUGUAUUUAAUGGUGUUUAGUGACUUAUAAAAUGAUUGAAUCCACAACAAGUAUCCUUAAUGUAUUUUCAUUAAGGAAGUUGAAAAGGAAGCUGAUAGCCCUUACACUGACACUACAUAUUCUUAUUUUUAUCUCAAUAUCCUUUAAAUCUUUUUUUAACUGUUAUUUUACUUGUUUCAUCUGUGGUCAUGUUUGAUUCAGUUGUGAUGCAUCUUUUCACCGAGACAUCACUUUCUGAUCUACAGGUUUGUUUAGAGAUUCACAAAUCACUGAGUCUCUAAACACAACCUUCUAUCAGUUUCACCCAGUUGUUAGAAGUUAGGAGCAGUUACUGUAGCUGCAUUUUGCAUAUUGCGUAAAACUUAGGUAGAUUGCAGUUUUAUGGUUACUUUAAUUUUUUUACUUUUACUCUGGAAAAGACAGCAAAAAUAGUGAGAUGUUAACCUGCAGAAGACUGAUAAUAACAGACCUUCUUCACAGCCAUUCAACAAAACAAA